rnacentral:lncRNA from 1 species
CAGACAGUUUCGACACUUUGCAAAGACAAAGAGCCCUAGACCGGAGGGAGGAGGAGGAGGAAGAAGAGCGGAGAGAGAAGGAAGAGGCGAUGUGAGCUGGGAAGGGGGCAAGUGUCCGGGACACCCACACCCCUGUAUUCUCCUCCGAACCCCUUCAUGCCCAAAUCCCGGAAACUCCAGCGUGUCUCCAGCCGUGUUGGUACCAUUUUCAGAUUUCAUCUUCCUAAACUGGAAAUGUCAAUGAGAGGAAAUUAACACCCCCAAGAGCUGCAGUGAGCAAAUGCAUUGAGCUUGGGUCAGGACAAUUCCAUUUGGGGACCAGAGAUGGACGGUCACUCAGCCUAUGGAGAUGACAGACAACCUUCUGUGCCUUCAUCAAGCUGGUUGUGUACCCACCAUGUCCCUGGCGACAGGAUGGGAAAGAAAAAGCCCUAAUUAAGGAUCGUCAGAAACCACAGUUGGAGGAGGACGGCAGAGACAGUUUCCCUCCCCGCUAUACCAACACCCUUCCUUCGAGGUCCUCGCUCCUGAGGGACCCUGGACUGUCACAGAGAUUAAUGACCCCUUAUCUUCUUUGGAUGUGAAAGGAAAUCACUGGUUAAAGCUUGAUCGAGAGACAUUAUCAGCUCUUUAAGGAUUGCAGAAGAAUAGGCUACUUUAUUUUCUGAAAAGGUAAAUAUAUGCAAGCAAAGCCAACAUGCCACGAAUGGCGUUGGUCUACCACACAGCCGUGUCUGGGACACAGUUGGGGGUCAUCCCCCAGCAGGAGUGAAGUCGAGCUUAGCGGCCCUUGUGUCCUCCCUUGGAAUUCCUGCCAUCCCUUUUGAUUGAGCCUCCACCUCUGGGAUUUUUCUUCCAUUUUUCUCCUCUCUUAGGAGGGAGUUCCUGCUACCCAUCGUGGGAGGCCACCAUCAGGACUGC